rnacentral:rRNA from 1 species
UACAGAGGGGGCGAGCGUUAUUCGGAAUUAUUGGGCGUAAAGGGCGCGUAGGCGGCCUUUCAAGUGACGGGUGAAAUCCCUCGGCUUAACCGAGGAACUGCCUGUCAGACUGGAAGGCUUGAGACCGGGAGAGGUGAGUGGAAUUCCCAGUGUAGCGGUGAAAUGCGUAGAUAUUGGGAGGAACACCAGUGGCGAAGGCGGCUCACUGGACCGGUACUGACGCUGAGGCGCGAAAGCGUGGGGAGCGAACCGG